ensembl:lncRNA LINC02612 long intergenic non-protein coding RNA 2612
AAGAAUUUCAAUACAGUGACCACAGAGCAUUAGCACCCAAGCAGGACCUGCUGAACCUGGGGCCCUAUAGGAGAGCACUGAUGGCCCACCCCUGAUUGUGGCCCUGGUCUUCAUGUCUGCAUCAGCCUCAGCCAUCUCAAGACCACAACAGGAACAUAGCCAAGUCAGAGAAGGAAGACCAAAAGCACCAGGGCCCUUCAUAUUAUUAAGCUGCUAAAUUAACUAAUCUUGGAAACUUCUAGACUCUACAAUUCUUGUUGUAUGAGGUAAUAAACCCCUCGUUUUAUAGGUCAUUUUGGGGGGUUCUUUUAUUAAUCACAACUAAAGCAUUUUAACUGAUAGGAAAGACCACAUAUUGGUGAAAAAGGUCUACAGAGGGACCAGCAGGAGAUGGUAAAGCUAAAGGAGUUUUGCUCUAAUGUUCAAAUCCAUGUCACCUGCCCUAGAGAAUGCUGUUCCUGCUUUUCCCUAGCCACUGUGCUGGGCAUGAGAGGCCCCCUGUCCUCCUUGGGCCCAGAGAACAGAAAAUGUCUUCACUUAUACUCUACUCCCUCACAUUCCUCCACUCUUGGAAGGUUUAACAAGUUCAAGAGAGAAGAUAUUGGCCAAAUACAACACAGAGGCUAAACACAACACCUAUGUUGAUUGUUUGGUGCAUAAGAAUUGAGAUGAUGGAAAGAGGUCACUGUGAGCUUCAGGAAUAGCUUGAGGCUAACUGAUAAAACAGAGUGGAUUGACAAUUAUUCUCUGGACUUUUUGGUAACCAAGAACUUCUAGCAACUAACCCUGGCAUGACCACCAGAAUCUGCAGGGCUGAGAGAAGAAAGAAAGGCAAAAGUGGAUGAAUGCAGCUGAAGAUGCUGUGGAACUCCUAUCACAUUCCAAGUGCUGUGUUGAUAUCUGGAGAUAUAGACAAGAUCGAAGCAGAUGCAGUCUUUCACAUGAAUAUUUGAAUCAGGCAGUAUGUUCCCCAAAUUAGCAAAGUAUCUCCCAGAUUUUUUCUUUGAUGAUAUAUUUGAAAUCCUAAUGCUGAAAGUUAAAUUAUCAGGGUUUUAAAACUAGAAGCAGUCAUUAUCAGAAUUUUAUAUACUAUUUAUUUUUAAGAACGUAAUUUGACUGUUUAAGUCUUAUUAUAAUUUUAAGUGAAGUACUUUGGGCAGUCAUAAAUAAAGUAAUGGGCAGGUAUUUAGUAUUCAUAUUGUGUGGAUUCAUAUCCAUACUCUGCCACUCAGUAUCUCUGGGAUUUUGAUGAAUGAUCAAACUCUCUGAGCCUCAGUUUUCUAAUCUGUAAAGCAGAAAUGAUAAUGGUAUGUAGUGAUAAUUAAACAAUUUACUAGUUGUAAGUGCUUAGAACAGUUCCUGGAAUAGAGAAAAUUUGCAGAGAGAUUUUUAUUGUUUACAAUUUAGUUAAUGGAAUGGCUUCAAUAAUACAGUAAAAUUAAGAUAUUCAAACAAGCAGGAUGCAGGUGAUGGGUAUUGGCCUCAGCUUUAGAGACCAGAGGUUAAAUCUCAGUGCUGCCUGCCACAAAACGAUCCAUGUAAGUCAAUAAACAAUGCUUUUUAAA